GAUGAACGCUGGCGGUAUGCUUAACACAUGCAAGUCGAACGGACUCUUCGGAGUUAGUGGCGGACGGGUGAGUAACGCGUGAGAAUCUGGCUUUGGGUUCGGGACAACCACUGGAAACGGUGGCUAAUACCGGAUGUGCCGAGAGGUAAAAGAGAAAUUGCCUGAAGAUGAGCUCGCGUCUGAUUAGCUAGUUGGUGGGGUAAAGGCUCACCAAGGCAGCGAUCAGUAGCUGGUCUGAGAGGAUGACCAGCCACACUGGGACUGAGACACGGCCCAGACUCCUACGGGAGGCAGCAGUGGGGAAUUUUCCGCAAUGGGCGAAAGCCUGACGGAGCAAUACCGCGUGAGGGAAGAAGGCUCUUGGGGUGUAAACCUCUUUUCUUAGGGAAGAACAAAAUGACGGUACCUAAGGAAUCAGCAUCGGCUAACUCCGUG
rnacentral:rRNA from 1 species